GCCCAGGUGGCGGAAGUGGUAGACGCGCUAGAUUCAGGAUCUAGUGGCCAUUGCGGCCGUGGAGGUUCGAGUCCUCUCCUGGGCA
rnacentral:tRNA from 1 species